GGGGACGUAGCUCAGCUGGGAGAGCGCCGCCCUUGCACGGCGGAGGUCGCCGGUUCGAUCCCGGCCGUCUCCACCA
rnacentral:tRNA from 1 species